rnacentral:lncRNA from 1 species
GUUUAAGAGGAUGUCACUGGACAUUCAGGCAGAGAAACCAGUCAUGGCUUCGCCUUUAGACUCAGACAGCUGCUUCCCAGGACCUUGCUCCUCCGAGGCUCAGGGCACGCCCGGGUCGAGGGAAGUUGUGUCCGAAAUGGUUUCUGAGCUUCUUGGAGGAAACGGAGUCACGGUAGAAAGAAAGACAAUCGUCUCACAAAUGGGUGGUGGCACCAACUCCUUCCAGGAUGGAGCUGAGGCUUCACUGAGACCACCAGAUCCAGGAGCGCCUUAGUGCUAGAAAGCCAGAGAGAAACAUAGGCAGCCAUUGUGCGUUUUGUGAAUUGUUUCGCCCUGCCCAUUUCAUUUGUCUUCCAUCGUAGAAGUUCACGGAAUGCUGUCCUGCUGAAAAGGCAAGAAUUGAUGCUGGGUGUGGGAAGCCCGGAUGAAAGUCAUCAGCCUUUUUUGCCUUUGGGGAAUAAUUUGUAAUCAAGAGAGAAAAGUGCUUUGUGUUUUCCUCGUUCCACCAGCCGACCCACAACAUCCUCCUUUUAACCCCUUGUGUGGCCUUCCCCGUUUCUGAGGUUGUGUGCUUCUCUUCCGUAUCUCAGGAGCUGGGGUUCUGCUGACGUGGAUCAAGCCCCACUCCUGGUUGCAACUGCAGAGAACACUUUUUUUUUGCCUUCUUGACCCCUGUGCUAUAAGGCCUGGCCGGACCCUUGGGCUGGGCUCAGAGACACGGUACCUUUCCUGCCAGCCAGAUGGAACCUCUCUCCUUCUUCCCCCUACACUGGAAAUCGUGGCCAUUACCCAGUGACAAUGCGCGCAUCAACUUCUUCCUCUAAAAAAGCAGCUAAUUAAGAAGAGUUCAAUGAAGAGAGCAGCUUGCGAACGUGUACCUGUGAUUCUUGUCCCUAACAGACCCUGAGGCUCUACCCGCUUUCUGGCCACCCGAAGUCGCACUCGUGGUCUGAGAAUCACAGGAAAGAUGCACUGGCUAAGUGGGCACUUUUUGCUCGGAGCCCGGUGCCUGCCUGGAGUCACGAUCUCCUCUCCUCCCUCGGUGCCUGGGCGGCCUGACACAGCAGGGAACUCAGCGGCCCGAAUAAGAGCAAUCACGUGCGUCUCCAGAAGUGAGCAGACAGUGUGCGAGUGGUGCAGUGGACGGCAGCCUGCAGCUCCGCUCCCAUCUCCCUUUCAAGCACAGCAGGUGGACAUUUUUCUACUUUAUAUAUGGCUUCUACGUGAACUUCUUCAGAAAGGCAGGGUCCUGAAUCAGCCUUCCCCCCAUAAAAAGGAAACUGCUGCCCUAGGUCCCUUAGGGCUGUCGGUCAGUGUUUUAUUCACCGUGUAGACAGGUACCAGUUGUCAGCUAACGUCUUAGUCUGGAAUCCCCCAAGGGCUCGCUUGGUCACAAAGACUUGAGUACACGAAGGUUACUGAGGGGAUGAGAGGGUCAUCCUGGGAAGCGUGAUGGAGGGGUGGAGGAGGUGAGAUGGAGGAGGAAGGAACUCAAGGAAGAGUGCAGGGACGUGGGUGUUAACGGCCGUGGGCCGCUGAGACACACCCUGUGUCAACAUGUGCAACAUCCUUCAGGGUUGUCCCUCCCAUGGAAAGGAAACCUGGGAUAUUUAUCUAUAACUCUCAUCUUGCAUUUUUGAGGGGCUUUGGGUCCCCAGAAUUUCUGGGCUUCCUGAGCUAGGACGCAGCAAAUUCAAUGGUCCCCAGCAACAUUGUGGGCUGAGAAGCAGUGGGACACAGGUGCGAAGCUAUCAGUGGGCAGGCACCUGUCUACUGAAGCUCAGGGACACUUAGAUGUGGGGAGGGGGUCACUGGGUGGCCAUCAGCGGCAUCUGCCACAGCACAUUGUCCUAAGUUCCCAAAGGUCCUUGAUGACCAUGUUGAUACAGAGCGAGUCUGAUAACCAUAUUAAGAGUCACAGAGAAAAGGUCUCUUGGGUGCAUGAGGAAAAUAAAGCUUUCUAAAUUGAAAAAGAAGAAAAACAGGGCUGUGUUCAUUCCUCCCCUUCCUUUUAACUUAACUUGAUGACUUGCUUGCCCUUGGGGUGCUUUGGGGGGAAGGUGUUCAUCCUUGCUCUCGUCCCUUGCCUGGCAGAUCCUCCCCACCAGGCAAAAAAAAAAAAAGGGUGAGCACAAUGGGAGAAAUAGCUUGAAGAUUAAGAAAGUGGUUUUUUCUUUUAUCUUUCCGGGAGCAUGACAUCCCUCUGCCUGGCUCCCACAGAACGGGGCAGGGAAGGUUGGAAUUAACAUGAAAACAGAGGGAAUCCAAAGAAAAGAAAGUAAUUUCAGCUUAUGAAAUUCAAAGUAGGCUUUUGCAG